GUGCUCACUUUGGCAGCACACAUACUAAAAUUGGAAUGAUACAGAGAAGAUCAGCAUGGCCUGUGCAUAAGGAUGACAUGCAUCAGAGAUACAGCACUGAGUC